rnacentral:rRNA from 1 species
CCUACGGGCUGCAGCAGUGAGGAAUAUUGGUCAAUGGACGGAAGUCUGAACCAGCCAUGUCGCGUGCAGGAAGAAGGCUCUAUGAGUCGUAAACCGCUUUUGUACAAGGGUAAACCUGAAUACGUGUAUUCUGCUGUAUGUACUUUAUGAAUAAGGAUCGGCUAACUCCGUGCCAGCAGCCGCGGUAAUACGGAGGAUCCAAGCGUUAUCCGGAUUUAUUGGGUUUAAAGGGAGCGUAGAUGGGUUGUUAAGUCAGUGGUGAAAGUUUGCGGCUCAACCGUAAAAUUGCAGUUGAUACUGGCAGGCUUGAGUACAGUUGAGGUAGGCGGAAUUCGUGGUGUAGCGGUGAAAUGCUUAGAUAUCACGAAGAACCCCGAUUGCGAAGGCAGCUUACUAAGCUGCGACUGACAUUGAUGCUCGAAAGUGUGGGUAUCGAACAGGAUUAGAUACCCCUGUAGUC